rnacentral:tRNA from 1 species
UGGAGUGUGGCUUAGUGGUAGAGUAUGUGCUUAGCAUGUGCAAAACCUGGGUUGGAUUCCUAACACUGUAA